AACACUAGCCAAAGCUUACAUCAUUAUAGCAAAAGAGCACAACAAUCUUCAUCUUGCAUGGGAGCUGAGUACAAAGAUAAGAAGUUGUCAACUUUUACUCUCAAAAGCUGCAAUGAGAGAUGAGCCUAUUUCUCUAGAUGAAGCUGAGCCAAACAUAAGAAGUCUAUCUUCUCUCAUCCUUAAGGCACAGGAUGCCCAUUAUGAUAUUGCUACCACUAUGAUGACAAUGAAAUCACAUAUUCAAGCUCUUGAAGAGCGUGCCAAUGCUGCAUCUGUUCAAAGUAUGAUGUUCGGACAGUUGACAGCCGAGUCUCUGCCAAAGAACCUGCACUGCCUAGAAAUGAAGCUCAUGGCUGAUUGGCUUACAAAAAAGUCACUGCAGGAUUUUGCUGAUGAGAGGAGAAACUCACCUCGUUUAGUAGACAAUAACCUGUAUCACUUCUGCAUAUUUUCAGAUAAUCUGUUGGCAGUUUCAGUCGUUAUCAACUCAACUGUGGCCAAUGCUGAUCACCCUAAGCAGCUAGUUUUCCAUAUCGUAACGGAUUCAAUACACUAUGGAGUGAUGCUGGCUUGGUUCCUGAACAAU
rnacentral:misc_RNA from 1 species